rnacentral:rRNA from 1 species
UCCGUAGGCGGUGUGGCAAGUCGGAAGUGAAAUCUCUGGGCUUAACUCAGAGGCUGCUUCCGAAACUGCCGUGCUAGAGUGCGAGAGAGGCAAGUGGAAUUGCGGGUGUAGCGGUGAAAUGCGUAGAUAUCCGCAGGAACAUCCGAGGCGAAAGCGGCUUGCUGGAUCGCAACUGACGCUGAGGGACGAAAGCUAGGGGAGCAAACAGGAUUAGAUACCCUGGUAGUCCUAGCCCUAAACCAUCAGGACUUGGGGUUUGCCCUGUACGGGGCAAGUCCCGUAGCUAACGCGUUAAGUCCUGCGCCUGGGGAGUGCGGUCGCAAGGCUGAA